CCUACGGGAGGCAGCAGUGGGGAAUAUUGGGCAAUGGAGGCAACUCUGACCCAGCAACGCCGCGUGAGUGAUGAAGGUCUUCGGAUUGUAAAACUCUUUAAGUGGGGACGAAGAAAGUGACUGUACCCACAGAAUAAGCCUCGGCUAACUACGUGCCAGCAGCCGCGGUAAUACGUAGGAGGCAAGCGUUAUCCGGAAUGACUGGGCGUAAAGGGUGCGUAGGUGGUUUGGCAAGUUAGUAGCGUAAUUCCGGGGCUCAACUUCGGAACUACUACUACAACUGCUGGGCUUGAGUGCAGGAGGGGCAGAUGGAAGUCCUGGGGUAGCGGGGGAAUGCGUAGAUAUUAGGAGGAACACCAGUGGCGAAGGCGAUAUGCUGGACUGUAACUGACACUGGGGCACGAAAGCGUGGGGAGCAAACAGGAUUAGAUACCCUAGUAUC
rnacentral:rRNA from 1 species